rnacentral:rRNA from 1 species
AUUGAACGCUGGCGGCAGGCCUAACACAUGCAAGUCGAACGCAGUGGGGACGGGUGAGUAACACGUUGGUAACCUCCCAUCAGAGGGGAUAACACUUGGAACCAGGUGCUAAACCGAUACUGAUGGAUGGACCAGCGGUGCAUUAGCUAGUUGGUGAGGUAACGGCUCACCAGGGCCACGAGGCAUAGCCGACCUGAGAGAGUGACCGGCAAACCUGGGACUGGCACACGACCCAGACGCCAACGGGAGCAGGCAGGGGGAAAUCUUCGGCAUUGGACGAAAGUCGGACCGAGCACCGCCGCGGGGUGGAGGAAGUUUUUCGGAUCUUAAACCUCUGUUGUUAGAGAGGCGGUAUCUAACCAGAAAGCCACGGCUAACUACGUGCCAGCCGCCGCGGUAAUAC